rnacentral:rRNA from 1 species
CCUACGGGGGGCUGCAGUGGGGAAUAUUGGGCAAUGGAGGAAACUCUUACCCAGCAAUGCCGCGUGAGCGAAGAAGGUCUUCGGAUUGUAAAGCUCUUUGAUUGGGGACGAAGUAAGUGACGGUACCCAAGGAACAAGCCCCGGCUAACUAUGUGCCAGCAGCCGCGGUAAUACAUAGGGGGCGAGCGUUGUCCGGAAUUACUGGGCGUAAAGGGUGUGUAGGCGGUUUUUUAAGUUAGAAGUGUAAUACCCAGGGCUUAACUCGGGUGCUGCUUCUAAAACUGGAAGACUUGAGUGUAGGAGAGGAGAAUGGAAUUCCUAGUGUAGCGGUGGAAUGCAUAGAUAUUAGGAGGAACGCCGGAGGCGAAAGCGAUUCUCUGGACUACAACUGACGCUGAGGCACGAAAGCGUGGGGAGCAAACAGGCUUAGAUACCCUUGUAGUC